AAUUUGAAACUCAAAAUCGACUCAAUCGAUUUUGAGUUCCAAAACGGAUUAAGGUAUCACUAGUUACUAGUUACUUCUUGUCGAAAUAUUGUGUGAAGAAGUAAAUUAUUUUGCUAUCUGAGAUGUUUUGCAUUAACUAAAUUAGAAUUAAACAGAAUGGAAUUGAGUGAAAGAGCCACUUUCUAGCAGGAAGAGACUGGAUGACCACUGCUAAAGAUCAGGAAAAAUGGAAUUCUUUGGAGGAGGAUUUUACCCUGAGUGGGUCCACAUUAGAAGGAGAUUAAAUUACAUGAUUAGUAGAUUUAUUAUAGUUACUCAGUAAUAUAAUUAUUAAAUACUUAAUUAAUAUAGCUCCAUCUAAUUAUUAUGGAAUCAAAUAAAGCUACUUUAUUACAUAUAUAUUCAAAAAACACUAAAAACCAAGUUAGCCGUGAGCAAGUUAGAGUGGAGUAUUAAAAAAUUGCUCCGAAAUAAUUUCUUGUUAAACAGAAUAAAUAUUUUAUCAGAUACAAAUAAACAAACUUAAUUUUGGAAUAAAACCAAAAAGUAACAAUAUCAGAUUCAUCAGCUUUAGCAGAUAAAUCACGGAGCCCUUGUUCAUUAACUAUGUAUUUAUCUAUAACCGACUUCAAUAAAGACAUUAUCCUAAAAAUUUAA